UUGCCCCCAGCCCCGGUAAUACGAAAGGGGCUAGCGUUGCUCGCAAUCACUGGGCGUAAAGGGCGCGUAUGCGGCUUUUUAGUCGGGGGUGAAAGCCUGUGGCUCAACCACAGAAUUGCCUUCGAUACUGGAAAGCUUGAGACCGGAAGAGGACAGCGGAACUGCGAGUGUAGAGGUGAAAUUCGUAGAUAUUCGCAAGAACACCAGUGGCGAAGGCGGCUGUCUGGUCCGGUUCUGACGCUGAGGCGCGAAAGCGUGGGGAGCAAACAGGAUUAGAUACCCUGGUAGUCC
rnacentral:rRNA from 1 species